UAUAUUUUCUGGAAUAACACUCUCUUUCCUACAGGGCUAAAGCCACUAUGCACUGUCAAUAUAUUCUACAGUUAUCUCUGUUAACUCUACUCUCCCUGCCAGGCACACUGGCACAGACCUGGUCUGUCUGGUACCGUGACAGGGACAGGAUUACUGUUAUCUGUGCAUCAAAAGGCUCAUCAGUGGUAUUUGACUGUAUAUACAGCUACCCAGCUACCCAGAUAGUUAGAAGAAAGAUAUGGUUCACUCCGAGAGGCGAUACAAAACAAGAUGGCUCACAGCAAGGAGAUGGAGUGUUUAACACAUCUGGACUGACUAAUAAAUCAAGAUACAGUGGAAGAACAGAGUUUUAUGACCAAGACAAUAACUGCACACUGAAACUCAACAAUGUGACUGAAGAUGACAGUGGCAGAUUCUUCUUCAGAUUUGAGGCAAAUACAAGUAAUCAGCCCCCUCAGGGAUUUACAGGAUCGUGGGGUGUGGACCUGACAAUACCAGUCUUAUCCCUAAAGUUAAAUGAAAAUGGCCCCGUUAAGGAGCGAGACCACGUCACCUUGGCCUGCACCUCCACCUGUAACCCUCCUUAAAUGGAGUUCCUCUGGUUUAAA